AUGGAUAUAAGGAAUAUAAUAUGUAUUUUCGUUUAAAAUUAAUGAGAAAUAAUUUUAUAAAAUUUGAUAAAUAAUUAUGAAUAAAAUAAUAAAAUAUAUGUAAAUAUUGUAUUUGAAUGAUGGUGCUACUAAUAAAUACGAGAUUGGAUACAAAUUAUCGAGGCAGUUUGACGUAUGAAGAUAAGAAAAAACAGAAAUUAAUUUUGCUUCUUCGUACGUAAUAAUCUUGGAAUGAUAGUUCAUAAUUCAUCGAUUGGAAAUUAUUUGAUUUCAAAAAACGAAGCUUCAAAGUUUCCUUAUCUUCCGUCAUCCCGACGCAAAUAAAUAAAUGUCUGCAUACAUCUCGACAAAUCAACCUAUCCAUGUCACACUCGAGCGGUACAAUUGGAAUCGUUAACCUGACUGACAACGACGUCGAGGAAUCCGUUUUCUCGCGGAAUGCUAAUCGCAAUCCCGGCGAUCUUCACCGUUCCAGCGGGCAAUUCAGGCUAUCGCGCUGAAUACGAAAAAGAAAGAAGGCGGGGGAAAAGAAAGGAGCGAUGGAGGGUGACAGAAGAAAGAUCGGUGACGGAUUCACGAACGACGAACGGGACCGAGGAUCGUGAAUUGUUGGAAGAAGAACCCGGGGUUCUUCUUCGUUCGCUCUCUUUCCUUCCUUCUUCCCUCUUCGUUGCGACUACUUUUUACCAGAUACAAGGUUAACAUACUUCCUGCAACAGCACAAAUUCCACGCGAUAGUCGUAGUAAGAUGAUACGUAAUAAGAAACUAAUCGAACUGCUCGUCCUGUGGGAAGAGAAAUCUCCACGGGGCGCUUUUACAACUCGCGCUUCGAGAGAGAAUUGUAUGACAUGCUUGAUAAGUUUAAGUUAAAAAAGAAAAAAUAAAAAAAGAUAAAACGAGAAUUGUAAGAUAAUCUUAAGAAUCUUUUAAUUAUAGGGAAUGAAAAUUAGAAAGCAUUCGAACAACGAUAUAGUUGGAAUACUUAUGAUUAUGGAAUUGAAAUGCUUAAUUAAUGAUUAACAAUCCAGAAUAUGUGGAAUAUUUUUAUAGAUAUUGAUUGAUUUAAUUAUAAUGAUAUCUAGGGAAUAUCAUUUCUCAGAGAUGAAAGGUACAAUUCAAAUCUCACAGAAUAAAGAUCAUUUUGAUCUUAUACAAUAACCACCCCCCCUAGACAUCUCAUUAAACUUUAUCACAAUGUGAGCUCCCUGUGGUUAACAAUGCCAUGUAUUGUAUUAUGAGACGAAACGAGAAUAAUCAUAACGAUUAUUAAUCUUCGAAAGACGACGAGACUCGAUCUCGCCAUCUAUUCGCGUGGCUACAUUGUCCCCACAUGACCUCGUGUGACUUGGUUGAAUAGCUGGUAAAUUAUUCCGGCGAUCUCGACUUGCUAAUAGAAUAACAAGGAAGGAAAGAGAGUGGAGAAGAGCGGAUCUCGCGACAGGAAGUUUCGCUGCAGGGUGCCUCGAGUCCCCGAGGUCAGCCGCCAUUUUUUUACGUGGAUCGAGAGUCACGGGUUGAUUGACACCCGUCGUCGUUUUCUUUCAUCGUGUCCAAGCUUACCGAGAGCCGAUUAUUAAUUGCUGAAUGCCACUCUCUUCCCCCGUGGGAUAAAUACGUGGAUGAAGAUGGACGACAGGAAGUUGAUCUUUUCUCUCGAAUUGAAAGGAAAACAUCACAGUACGACACCUUGUCUCGAACACGCCAUCAUUCUUUGAUUUUAAAUUACUUGAACAACCUCUGAUUUUACUUGGACAAUUUAAAAUUCGCAAAGAAAGUAAUUGAUUACUUAGAAAACAAUCACAAUAGUUGUAACCAUUAAUCGAGAAAUCGAUUAAAGAGAAAGAAGAUUUAAUUCGCCGCAAAAUCAAGACGAUGAAUUUUCGAUUUUUUGAGAAAAUCACUACAAAUUAUUUUAUGCAAACGAUUAAAUAUGAUCGUAUAUAUCAUGAGAUGAAAAAGAGGAUAAAUUAAAAAUCUAAUUUGGAUCAGAGAUUCAUAGUUCUCACGUUACAGAUUCAAAGACAUCAAAGAAGAGCAGUCUUUCGGUGUUCAACUGGGACACUCGCGUACCGAACUUUUUUCAGCCGAUGAUCUCGAUACUCCACGAGGAAUACACCGUUCACCAGUUUAUAUUUAGCGCAUCCUUCCUUCCUCUCGCUCUCGAUCACGAUGUUUUCAUGCACGUAUCUCUUCGGUCCCGGCCGAAUCGUAAAUCCGUGGAAUUGCUCCUCCUCGGCUUGUCAAACGCACGCCACAGCAUUCACAGGCCUGGAUGAGGGCCUCGAGUGGUAACAUCGAUGCUCGAUUGUCGGUAAUCUUGUAGGAAUAGCGUUGUGGUUAGGCGAUGGGACGAGGGAUGUGUAUCAGAUAAAGGAUAAGCAUUUGUUUCAGUUCCUUCUUGAGCUCCCUUAUCUGAGCUAACAGGCUAAUUUAUGGGUUCUCGGACGGAGCGGAGAUAGGAAACAGAUGUUGGAUCAUUGAUUUCUUUCCUCCUUGCUCCUUUUCGUCCAGAUUCUUGCGUUUAUUGUUAUCGAAAUUUCAUCGAACGAUCGAGAAAGAUGUCAGAUUUUUUUUUAGAUUAAAAAUG